UACGUAGGGUGCGAGCGUUAAUCGGAAUUACUGGGCGUAAAGCGUGCGUAGACGGUUAUGUAAGUCAGAUGUGAAAGCCCCCGGGCUUAACCUGGGAAUGGCAUUUGAGACUGCAUAGCUAGGGUGCGGAAGAGGGAAGCGGAAUUUCCGGUGUAGCGGUGAAAUGCGUAGAUAUCGGAAGGAACACCAGUGGCGAAAGCGGCUUCCUGGUCCAGCACCGACGUUCAGGCACGAAAGCGUGGGGAGCAAACAGG
rnacentral:rRNA from 1 species